ACGAACGCUGGCGGCGUGCCUCAUACAUGCAAGUUGAGCGAUGAAGAUUGGUGCUUGCACCAAUUUGAAGAGCAGCGAACGGGUGAGUAACGCGUGGGGAAUCUGCCUUUGAGCGGGGGACAACAUUUGGAAACGAAUGCUAAUACCGCAUAACAACUUUAAACAUAAGUUUUAAGUUUGAAAGAUGCAAUUGCAUCACUCAAAGAUGAUCCCGCGUUGUAUUAGCUAGUUGGUGAGGUAAAGACUCACCAAGGCGAUGAUACAUAGCCGACCUGAGAGGGUGAUCGGCCACAUUGGGACUGAGACACGGCCCAAACUCCUACGGGAGGCAGCAGUAGGGAAUCUUCGGCAAUGGACGAAAGUCUGACCGAGCAACGCCGCGUGAGUGAAGAAGGUUUUCGGAUCGUAAAACUCUGUUGGUAGAGAAGAACGUUGGUGAGAGUGGAAAGCUCAUCAAGUGACGGUAACUACCCAGAAAGGGACGGCUAACUACGUG
rnacentral:rRNA from 1 species